GGGCUGAUAUUCCAAAGUUCCAGCUCUCAGGCUGCCACAGCUCUCGGCUGUCCGGGGGAUUCCAUACCAUCUUGUGAUGUUUGGCUGUGCGUUCUUCAUCACGUCGGGGUCACCAGUUGUUGUAAUCUUUGCUGCAGUGUUGUCCUUCCCUCUUCUCAGGGGCUCUUCUCCUUU